UGGUGUUCCUCUUGUCCCUGAAGCUAAAGUCUCACCUAAACCAGGAGCAAUCUCGGCUUCUACAAGGUUACUGUCUGGAUCAGCUGGACUGACCGUGUGCAAAACAAAAGAUAGGUCCGGCGAAAGCAUUUCUUGAACAAGAACCGCCAUUGAAGCUUCUUUUUGAGUGACACCAGCAGCUCUACGGCUUAGAACAGCUCUUCUUGUGUAGAGAGAAGCCCAAACUUGGCAAAC